AGAUUGAACGCUGGCGGCAUGCCUAACACAUGCAAGUCGAACGGGAGUAGCAAUACUCUAGUGGCGGACGGGUGAGGAAUACGUAGGAAUUUGCCCUUAAGUGGGGGAUAACCCGGGGAAACCCGGAUUAAUACCGCAUGACCUCGAAAGAGCAAAGUGGGGGAUCGCAAGACCUCACGCUUUUGGAGAAGCCUACGUCGGAUUAGCUAGUUGGUGAGGUAAUGGCUCACCAAGGCGACGAUCCGUAACUGGUCUGAGAGGAUGAUCAGUCACACCGGAACUGAGACACGGUCCGGACUCCUACGGGAGCAGCAGUGGGGAAUAUUGGACAAUGGGCGCAAGCCUGAUCCAGCAAUGCCGCGUGUGUAGAAGAAGGCCUUCGGUU
rnacentral:rRNA from 1 species